GCCGGUGUGGCGGAAUUGGCAGACGCGAAGGAUUCAAAAUCCUUUGGGGGCAACCCCGUGGAGGUUCAAGUCCUCUCACCGGUA
rnacentral:tRNA from 1 species